ACUCCUACGGGAGGCAGCAGUGGGGAAUAUUGCACAAUGGAGGAAACUCUGAUGCAGCGACGCCGCGUGAGUGAAGAAGGUCUUCGGAUCGUAAAACUCUGUCCUUGGUGACGAAAAAAUGACGGUAGCCAAGGAGGAAGCCCCGGCUAACUACGUGCCAGCAGCCGCGGUAAUACGUAGGGGGCGAGCGUUGUCCGGAUUUACUGGGCGUAAAGGGUGAGUAGGCGGUAAUAUGUGUCAGAUGUAAAAGGCUAUGGCUUAACCAUAGUUGGCAUUUGAAACUGUAUUACUUGAGUGCAGGAGAGGUAAGUGGAAUUCCUAGUGUAGCGGUGAAAUGCGUAGAUAUUAGGAGGAACACCAGUGGCGAAGGCGACUUACUGGACUGUAACUGACGCUGAGUCACAAAAGCGUGGGUAGCAAACAGGAUUAGAUACCCUGGUAGUC
rnacentral:rRNA from 1 species